rnacentral:tRNA from 1 species
GGGGGUAUAGCUCAGUUGGAAGAGCACUUGCAUGGCAUGCAAGAAGUCAGCGGUUCGAUCCCGCUUACCUCCACCA